UUGUUUUUCAGGAAACUAUAUUUCCUUACUCUUCUCCUGAUUCUACUCAUUUAUUUCCUCCUUAUGUUGUCACUUCUUCUUCAGUUCCUUCUUCCUCUCCACCUCCUAUUACUCCUCUUACCACAAGUACUUCUCCUCCUAGUUCUCCUGAUCAUUGUAAUACUGUUAGUUCUCCUCCUUCUUCUCAUGUUCCUUCUCCUGUUCUGAGAAGAUCCCUUAGAACUCACAAUCCACCUUCCUACCUUGAUGAUUAUAUUUGUUCCUCAGUUUCUGGUUCAAAGAUUCUUUCUCCCUCUGAUCUUUGCUGGCAAGAACCACAAUUUUAUCAUCAAGAUGCCUCCAAUACUGCUUGGCAGGAGGCUAUGAUGAGGAAUUUCAAGCUUUGGAAGCUAAUAAUACUUUGGACAUUCUUCCUCUACCUCCUGUUAAGUUGUCAGCUGAUGUUGGGCAUUUACU
rnacentral:lncRNA from 1 species